rnacentral:rRNA from 1 species
UACGUAGGGUGCAAGCGUUGUCCGGAAUUAUUGGGCGUAAAGAGCUCGUAGGCGGUCUGUCGCGUCGGACGUGAAAACCUGGGGCUUAACCCCGGGCCUGCUUUCGAUACGGGCAGACUAGAGUUCGGCAGGGGAGACUGGAAUUCCUGGUGUAGCGGUGAAAUGCGCAGAUAUCAGGAGGAACACCGAUGGCGAAGGCAGGUCUCUGGGCAUUAACUGACGCUGAGGAGCGAAAGCAUGGGGAGCGAACAGG